rnacentral:lncRNA from 1 species
GGGCAGAUAAGUUCAGACAAUUUAGAUCUUUGGAAAACUCUGGAUAGAGUAUCUAGUUACACAUCGGCUAACAUACAUUUAGUUGUUUGACGUAAGUAGAAUAGCAUGGUCAAGGAAUACAUCACUCGCUUUUAGUAUGUGAUGGUGUGAUUGACCGUCCAUCCACAAUAGAUAUCACCGCCUCACUAGUCUAUUGGAUACGCAGAGGCAAAACUCAGCAGACGAACUAACAAUCAAAAUAAACCUCAACGAGACUGACAUGAGAUGGCGAGGCUGAAACAUUAUAAGCCCAGAGGUGUUUAAACAAACUAUUGGCUCUAAAGCAACAUUAUAGUUUCUAGUUCUAACGUCAUGAACUAGUUAACAGCAUAGAGCCAUUAUGACAUUAAACUGACAACAUAGUAUCAUCUGCUGAUAACACCAGAACAAAAGACAACUAACCAAACAUAGCAUUUCAGAGAACUAAAUAGUCUAGUUCCAGAAGUUCAGAUAUUGCUGCUUCACUGCUAGUGCUAAAACUACUGGGCUACAAAAGCAUGUAACACCAGCAGGAGCUUGGGCAUUCUGUAACUACAGAACAGGUAGAACAUUGAGCAACACAACCAAACCUACAUCAAGACACAAAUCAAACAUCAGUAUCCAAUGGUGGAACCAGCAUUCAACCAAACAGCCACAAAAAUAUAAGCAAAUAGUUACCUCAUCAGGGUUUGUAUGCAUGCAGGGCUCCAGAAUCUGGCACUCUCAGUAUCUUUCGACUCUUGAAGAAAAUCAGAACCCUCAAACUGGUUUGUGAAAUCGAAGUGGGAGUGAAUGAGCAUGCUAACUGACUAUGGGCACUAGAUGCAAUGCAGGGGCACUAGAUGAACAUAAAUGCAUGGAGAUGUAACGGAUACAUGGUAUAUGCCAGAUAUGCAACAAAAGGGCUGGAUAGGGAAGUUAGUGUUGGAACAAGAGGAAGACAACAGAAUUUCUUCCACCUUUCACUCAGCUUCUUCCUUACCAAAAACCAGAAGAGCUGGUGAGGAGAUAAUGGCGUUCUUUGCAGAGCACCAGGAAGCAAGGACAUCUAGAGCCAGUUGGCUAGAGGACAGAAGGAAAUAAGUAUGCAAGAAUAUGCAAGAUGCAGGUACCCUACAAAUAUUUGACAUCUGGUUUCAGGUUAGGACGAAUGUUAUUCUACCAUAUAUGAACCAACUGAAGCAGAAAAUGAGGCUGCUGCUAUGGCAAAGUACCACCGUCAGUUCAGAACAGGUAACUAUGGAUGCAAAUGAUGCUGUUUUAAGAGGUUUAAACCCUACACCUAAGAGAUGAAGGAAGCAUAUAGGUGAAUACUAUAACUGCCCUGCACACCACCGGCCAUCCUCAACCCAGAGCCCACCUUCACAACACCUAACAGGGCAGUAUCAACUAAAACUAUCUAAGCUUUCGAAGUAGCUUCACCUACAAGCUACACCUCCACCAUGAGCCUGACCAUAUCUUACAACCACCAAGUAUCUAUCAUCGUUACCCUAUACCCUACCAAUGCAAGUAGAAAGCUGUCAGUGAAAGAUAACCUAUGUACACAGGAACCACCCUUCCAUCCUCCCAUUACUCAAUGAUCAGUGAUAUCCAACUGGAGAAUCCUCCUCAGAUUCUCCGUUGCAAUAGCACUAGCAAUUGCAUCAUCAUUGAAGAAGUCAUACCCUGAUCCCUCAACUGGGGAUGAAGGUGCUGAUUUAGCAUGCUGCCUGACCUCCACAUCAUCAGAGCGCUCAACUGGUGGCAGCUCGAGAGAGAUGCUGCGCUUCUGGCGGAGGGAGAAUUUGGGGAUGGGCAGCGAACUGGGUGGUGGUGAGUUGGAGAAUGCUGGGCCCGCCCACAGCUCAGAAUGGGUGGGAGGAGAUGUGGAGGGGCUUAUGGAAAUGGGCCGGCUUCGCUUGCCACCAUGGCGUGGCUGCUGCUUGGGUGUCUUGGGCUCCGGGGAUGAGUAGGUGCGGGCAGGCGGAGGUGGUGGGGAUGGGAGAACACCGACGCAGCCACCAGAGUGGAAAGACCGGCAGUUCAUUCCACGGAAGCCACGAGAGGUAGGCGGUGAUGAAAAGUGUGGACCCGAUGACUUGCUACGGGCACCAGGGUGGCGGUGAUGGUGGUUGCGCUCCUCCGGGACAAUCACAAGAGCCUGCAUGUCCGGUUAUGUUGUGGUGACAAUGUCUGGGAAAGAUGGUCGCUUUCCAGUACACCUCAGGCUGCUUGCAGCGGCAGAUGUCCCAAAGCCCUGAUAAAAGACAGACAAGGCAAGCAAGGAGAUGAGAAGCUGCACUUUUAACCACACUUUCAGCGUAAGACAACCACAUCCAACCAAAACAAAGAACACCCUUAAUGUGCAUAUGUCAGAAUAAACCCGUAGAGAAAUCGAUGGUAACUGUUGCCCUCUUGGCGUCUCCCUAGAAUUACACACAUAUAGGAAGUAUUGCUGAUACCUACUAUGAUUCAGUUGUAACGAAAAGCAAACAGAGUAGACAAGGAGACCAAAGAUGCAUUUGUGUACACAAGAAUCAUUAUCAUGAACUAGAACCAAACAACAAAAAUGAACACUGUUAAUAUAGUGAGCAUACAGCAGCAACGUAUGAGAGUAAAGUGAGCAUACAGCAGCAAAGUAUGAGAUGGCCGAAAAAGAGACUUUCAUUAGAAGGAAAGAAAAAGGAAGUUAGGGGGGGGGGGGGUGUAUACCUUCCAGAUCUAGAGCGGAGGAGCAAACCGGAGCCACCACGGACGACGUCGUCUCCGUCACGCGAAUCACCGACUUCCCAAUGCAGAUCCACCCGCGAACACACUGUACGCACGCACGGAAAUCUCCGAUCAGGAAUCUCGCAAGCAUAACCGAAAGGGACAGCCAUCGACCACACCCCCUCAAGCCCAACGAACCUGUAGCUCGAAGCAGGCCGCCGGAUCUGACCUUUCUCGCCGAAUCUCGCCACCUCCGGAUCGCGAAAACCAGGGGGAAACACCCUUAGCGGCCAGGAGGAGGAGGCGGCGGCUCGUCGAUCCACGGGGAUCCCUGCACGACCGCCGGCGGGGAAAUCGUAGAGGUGGGCGGGGGCUUUUGGGUUCGGCGAGCGAGUGAGAUGCCAAAGGGCGGAGGGGGGCGGACGAGCAGGGGAGGGAGGGAGGGAGGAGUGGGGUGGGUGGGGGGGAUGGGGGGAAGUAGGGUAGGGCGGCGUCGGACCCGAGGCGAGGGUUUCGCAGUGGCAGU